rnacentral:rRNA from 1 species
CGUGCAGGCGGUUUUUUAAGUCUAGGGUGAAAGCUCCCGGCUCAACUGGGAGAGGUCCUUGGAUACUGGAGAACUUGAGGGAUGCAGAGGAAAGUGGAAUUCCCGGUGUAGUGGUGAUAUGCGUAGAUAUCGGGAGGAACACCAGUGGCGAAGGCGGCUUUCUGGGCAUUUCCUGACGCUGAGACGCGAAAGCGUGGGGAGCGAACC